UCUUCAUCGAAAAAGGAGAUGGCGGACCAUGAUGGAGCCAACAGAUGGAAUCAGUAUACGUACCUAUAUAACUAGUUUCUCACUGGGAAAUAGCAGCCUCCGCUCACUUUCUAUACGUAUAUAUACAAGAUGGCUUCGGUACCGAGAUGAAAUCGCAUCACAAGAGAUGAAGCAGCCUACCCAGGAUCAAAUCCAGCAUUCCCUAGAAAUUCUCCAAUCCCAAUGAUAACAUCACGAGACGAUGCCAUUAAACUCUCUAUGUAAAUCGGCCUGGGACAACAAGAGAGUAAAGUACCGUAGCUACUGGAUCGUACCGUCAGGGUAGUGACACAAGGAAGAGUGGGGGUAAGAAAAUGGCGGACAUAAAACAGAGUUGAAAGCAUUCCGAAUCCGCGCAACCGUGACGCCAACGAGGGACAGAUGGGAACCGUGGAGACUUACGUCUAAUCACUGCAGGCGCCACAUCCGCAGCUCGGAGUAGCAUUGCGCAAAAUGGAAGCCGACUUGGCUUCAUAUUUUCUGCCAUCUUCUUGGGCUUGCACGUCUGAAAUCCACUCUUGCAUCCCACGGGAAAUAUGGAGCGAUAUUGGUACCCAGCUGUAGUGGCCACAUAGGUGUACCUUUACCCGUUGAAGUGAAUCUAUGGAGCCGACGGUAUUGCAAGACACCCGCAGAGAAAUCGCCUAAGGAACUUCAACACCCGUUGAAACUUUCAACAUUACAAGACAAAAAUUAACUUAAUGGACGAUAUACCGCAAAUAAAACAAUAUUUAUACAGACUUAAAAAAAUAAUAAAAAACAAUUGAGAAUUGUAAAAAAUAAAU